UCUUCCUUAGAAAUUUCUCUAAUUCAUUUUUCCAAGACGCCCUUUGUCUCCAACUUCCCAUCACCGGGAAGCCUUAGCCCUAGAUAACCAGCAAUCAGUCCUUACACUCACCAUUAAUUACAUUUUCUACUAAAUAAGCUGGGGGAAGGCACGGGAGGACAGUUCUCACACUCUCCCUCAGCCAGCAACUGUUAUCAAAUGAUUUGUCCUUGGGCUGCCCAGGCUCCUGCUGCUUUCUGCCUCCUUCCCUGCUUUUUAACCCCUUCACUCCCAUACCACUCUCCCACGUCUCGGUGUCAGUGAGUCUCUGGCAGAUUAUGUGACUCCAGGAGGCCGCCCUCCUCUGCCACACCUGCAUGGUUCUACGGGACUCGGCAUCCCAGACAGACUUGCCUCAAUUUCCAGCAAACAGGAUCCCAGCUAUUCUAAUCACCUUCUUGAGGAGUCACUGACAAAAAUAUAAAAUUCCCAACUCAUGUCCCCCAUUCAAAGGGCAGAAGUCGCCACAGCACAAGGUGUACUUCUCCCACCAAUGUAUAACCCAUUCUCUAUUCCUUAUGUUUCCAUGUAUCCUGGCAUACAUAUGUGGGACCAAGGUUGGGAAAAAAAAGUUAAUCGUCCAGUUUUCCCACUGGACCACAUAUUCUUAUAUCUGGCUGUGAGGGAUGUAAAAGACCCUUACCCAAAAUGACUACUCAGAGAUUAUUCAGUGAAAAGCAGAAAAGCUGUUUAUUGAAAAACCUCCAGAGGAUGAGCCGUCCCAUCAUGAGAAAAGAAAGAGAAAGCUCUUGGUAGGAGGGCUAAAGAAGUAGUUAAGAUACACAGCUUUUAUACAAGAGAUUACACCACAAGUAAGAGAGCAUUGAGAAGGGGAGGAGGAGGCAUCUUAUUGUUGUUGCUAUUUGGAGAGAUUGGAAUGGAAAGUUUCUGUUUCCCCAAAAUCUCCUGAUUUCUAGGAAACAGAAAAUCAGGCCUUCAGGCUUAAUCAAGCAGACAGUGGACCAGCUAAUAGACUAAAUAUCGAUAAAUGUCAAAUAUCAAUAAAUGUUAUCAGCUCAGGUUAAGUAAAUAUGUUUUUAGCUGGCCAAGGCUCAAGCAAUAUGAGCCUGUACAUAUUAUACAGGUCAUAGGGGAAACAGAGAAAUAAUUAAAAUAAAAUACAGAAAAAGAAUUCAUAUAUUCCUGUAAGUUCUUCACUUUAUCUCUCUCUAUUCCACACAUGACAUAAGAAAAGGCACCUCACUGCCUGAGCCUGCGAUGUUCCUUCUUCCCACCAGCUUGGAACACAAGUUCUGAUUUAUUCUGGCUAAGCCUCAGCAUCCAUCUCGCAACACACUGGUCCUAUUCAGUUGCAGACUGUACAGCUAGUACUCACUGCUUAUCACCUGGCUAUUCCAUAAGAAUUUUAAAAAUUAACUUUGCUUAACCAUUCUCCAAUUGAUAAAUGAUCAAAGGAUAGGAACAAUUUUCAGAUGAUGAAAUUGAAACUAUUUCCACUCAUAUGAAAGAGUGCUCCAAAUCAUUAUUGAUCAGAGAAAUGCAAAUUAAGACAACUCUAAGAUACCACUACACACCUAUCAGAUUGGCUAAGAAACAGGAAAAAAUAAUGAUGAACGUUGGAGGGGAUGCAGGAAAACUGGGACACUGAUACAUUGUUGGUGGAGUUGUAAACGAAUCCAACCAUUCUGGAGAGCAAUCUGGAAUUAUGCCCAAAAAGUUAUCAAACUGUGCAUACCCUUUGACCCAGCAGUGUUUCUACUGGGCUUAUACCCCAAAGAGAUACUAAAGAAGGGAAAGGGACUUGUAUGUGCCAAAAUGUUUGUGGCAGCCCUGUUUCUAGUGGCCAGAUACUGGAAAAUGAAUGGAUGCCCAUCAGUUGGAGAAUGGUUGGGUAAAUUGUGGUAUAUGAAUGUUACGGAAUAUUAUUGUUCUGUAAGAAAUGACCAGCAGGAUGAAUACAGAGAGGCUUGGAGAGACUUACAUGAACUGAUGCUAAGUGAAAUGAGAAGAACCAGGAGAUCAUUAUAUACUCCAAGAACAAUACUGUAUGAGGAUGUAUAAUGAUGGAAGUGGAUUUCUUUGACAAAGAGAAGAUCUAAUUCAGUUCCAGUUGAUCAAUGAUGGACAGAAGCAGCUACACCCAGAGAACACUGGGAAAUGAGUGUGAACUGUGUGCAUCUUUUGUUUUUCAUCCUGGGUAAUUUUUACCUCCUGAAUCCAAUUCUCCUUGUGCUAACUGGGUUAAGAGAACUGUUCAGUUCUGCACACAUAUAUUGUAUCUAUAAUAUACUAUAACAUAUUUAACGUGUAUAAGACUGCCUGCCAUCUAG
rnacentral:lncRNA from 1 species